rnacentral:lncRNA from 1 species
GGAUCCUUAGCUCCUGGAAGCAAUAGAAGUGGAACAUAUCAAAGGAAAACUGUUACAUUUUACAAGCAAGCACAAGGUUAUACACUGGAAGACUACUUUUGAGGAGGAGGUCAAAUCUGAAAAGGAAGAACAUCACCAAAGUGUAUUGUAGUCAGAAGGUGAUUGAUAGA